rnacentral:rRNA from 1 species
ACGAACGCUGGCGGCGUGCCUAAUACAUGCACGUAGAACGCUGAAGGAGGAGCUUGCUCUUCUGGAUGAGUUGCGAACGGGUGAGUAACGCGUAGGUAACCUGCCUGGUAGCGGGGGAUAACUAUUGGAAACGAUAGCUAAUACCGCAUAACAGUAGAUGUUGCAUGACAUUUGCUUAAAAGGUGCAAUUGCACCACUACCAGAUGGACCUGCGUUGUAUUAGCUAGUUGGUGGGGUAACGGCUCACCAAGGCGACGAUACAUAGCCGACCUGAGAGGGUGAUCGGCCACACUGGGACUGAGACACGGCCCAGACUCCUACGGGAGGCAGCAGUAGGGAAUCUUCGGCAAUGGACGGAAGUCUGACCGAGCAACGCCGCGUGAGUGAAGAAGGUUUUCGGAUCGUAAAGCUCUGUUGUAAGAGAAGAACGAGUGUGAGAGUGGAAAGUUCACACUGUGACGGUAUCUUACCAGAAAGGGACGGCUAACUACGUG